rnacentral:lncRNA from 1 species
CCCAGCCCCGGCUCCGGUCCCAGUCCCCGCUCGGAGCCCCGAGCGAGCGCCGCAGCCUCGCGCCGCGGUUCACCGUACGCGCCGCCACCGCCGGGAAGGCAGCCGGCGCCGGGCAAGUUGCGAGCGCGCCCCUCCGACCAGGAAAGUUUCCCCACGGCCGCUGGCGGGAGUUGGCGCGGGGUCUGGCCGCCGCAGCUGGAAGAGUGUAUCCAGAAGCUACUGUCAGAAGGACACUGUAAGAGAACCUUGGCACCCCUGGACCCAAAGGAAAAGACACCAGUGGAAAGAGGUGAGCAUCUCCUGGACAACGUCAAGCUUCAGAUGAGCUGAGCUUCUAAUACUACCAUCAAAGCAACUGGAACCCCUUGAAUUUGAUUUCCGGAGACGCGGGCAUAAUCCUUUUGCAGACGUCUCAACACUGGCUCUCCAGGUAACGGAGUUUAGGCUUGUUCAGCAAGGGGAUUUUCGCUACUUUUGUUGUUGCUGUUGUUGUUGCUAAGGGUGACCAUCAGCAGGGCACCUGUCAUUCUCUAUCAUUCAUUCUCUUUCAUGCAUUAGUGUCUGUCUCCCCCAUCACACCAAAGGUGCAUGGGCAGGAGUGUAAGGGGUGCAGAUAGUGUGAGUGGAUCUGAGCCAAGGUUGCUGGGGUUUCACUAGAUUAGCCAAAAAGAUAACCCUCGGAGGGGCCAGACAGCUGAGAAGGCCGAGGUACACGCUAGCCCACCAGGUUGCUGGCCCAUGCCCCUCAAGCUCAGCUGGGGAAGGGUGGAGCUGUUGCGCCCAGGUAAGCAAGAACCAAUGGUGGGUCAGAAGUAAAGGUUGGCUGCAGUGGGUGGUGAGAGGGCAAAGGCUGAGCUGAGGUCAGAUGCUGCAUCAUUUGGGAGCCAACACUCAAACUGGAUUAAGCAAGAUAGGCCAUUUAUUAGCUUUUUUUAUUGUUUUCUAAUAUAUUGGCGAUAUGGGGCCUAUUUAUUGGUUUCAAGGCAGGCAGGGCUGAAGCCAGGGCUCAAAUGAUGCUGUUAGGACCAUGUCUCACUACAUCCGUGUCCUCUGCCUCCCUCCUUGUGAGUUUCAGUCCUCGGCAGCCACUCUCCAUGUGACAGCAGGGCAGGGACAUGCAGCUGCAGACUGACGUCUUGCUCAUUUCAAAUCCAGUGGAAGGAGAGCUUCUUUUCCUAGGAGUUCCAACAAAAUCCCAAAGUCAAGGCUUAUUGGAUGGUCUUGGGUCACAUGACCACCUCUGAGCAAUCACUGAAACCUGGAGGACAAGCUAUGCUGAUUGGCCAGACUGGGUCAGUCUGGGGGUGGGGGGAUUGUGGG